GUGUCAUUACUGAUUUUAUUUUAUUAACAUCUAUUGAACCCCUGGUGAUAUUAAGUGGUGUAUAGAAGCUAUGGGGUGACCCUGUGCACUGGUAUAACUCAAACAGUAAUUCCCCACAACCACACAUGUAAAUGGAAUGGGGAUGACAAGGACUAGGACGACAUUGAGACAUGCAAGUUGUCUGGACUGCCCAGGAUCAUAUGGUGAAGCCAGGAAUAGAACCAAGAAUUUUGACUCCCAAUUUCCUGAUAAAAGGCAUGGUAUUCCAUAGAUCAAGAGCUCUUCCACUCUAUACAGGCAUGCUACAUCUCCCACAAUCUAUUCUCAAAAAGAAAAGGAGUACUUGUGGCACCUUAGAGACUAACCAAUUUAUUUGAGCAUAAGCUUUCCUUUUUCAAACAAACCCUGUGAUACAUGCUCCACCCUUUUCUUAACAGGACAGGUGUCAUUAACUAAAAUACAAAUACAAAAAAACCAAAACAAAUAUUAACACAGGCAUCCAAAUUAAUCUCUGUAUCAUUUAAACAAAAAAAUUCUGUUAUAGUUAAGGUUGCUUACAAACACAUUUAAUACUUUAAAUGUUAAGGUUUUUCACAUCAAUGUAAUUAGUCAUUUGAAAAAAGAAUUCUAAGGAAUUAAGUAAUAGAUAUUAUCACAUUUACCUAUUUAGUAGAGAAUUUACUUAAUUUCUCAAGUAGGAUGCUAAAAUUGUCCUUCAGCGUCUUAACUGUGACCACAUAUUUAUUGAAAUGCAAAACAAAUUUUAAUCAAUAUGUAACAACCUCAACUUUAAUCAAUGUAAAAAGAAAAGGAGUACUUGUGGCACCUUAGAGACUAACCAGUUUAUUUGAGCAUGAGCUUUCGUGAGCUA